rnacentral:rRNA from 1 species
GACAGAGGUGCCGAGCGUUAGGCGGAAUCACUGGGCUUAAAGCGUGUGUAGGCGGAUGCCUAAGUACCUUGUGAAAUCCCAUGGCUCAACCAUGGAACUGCUUGGUAUACUGGGUGUCUUGAGCUAUCUAGGGGCAACUGGAACAAACGGUGGAGCGGUGAAAUGCGUAGAUAUCGUUUGGAACGCCAAUGGUGAAAACAGGUUGCUGGGGAUAUGCUGACGCUGAGACACGAAAGCCAGGGGAGCAAACGGGG